rnacentral:rRNA from 1 species
AUUGAACGCUGGCGGAAUGCUUAACACAUGCAAGUCGAGCGGGGUGUAGCAAUACACCUAGCGGCGGACGGGUGAGGAAUACAUAGGAAUCUGCCUCAGAGCGGGGGACGAGCCGGGGAAACCCGGGAACUUAAUACCGCAUGAUGUCGCAAGAACCAAAACGUAGGGGGACCGGCCAAGGCCCCACCACUCUGAGAUGAGCCUAUGUCCGACUU